rnacentral:lncRNA from 1 species
GUCUGGGGGGGGGGGGCUUGACAGAGCUCUCCCACCCCAGCCCGGCCCCUGUCCCAGCCUCGCCUUGGUCUGGGAACUGCUCAGCCAGUGUGACCAGACAGACCCCACCUGGACGCCAGGCCCUGCCCAUGUCUGAGCCACCGUCUUGUUUCUGUCUCAGUCCCAGACUCAGCAGCAACCUCGGGCCCAGGCACUGCCUCCCAGAUCCUACCAGGUCCUCUGCCAGAAACAAGCCUGUCCUGGAGGCUCUCCCACCUCAGCAAGGCUCAGAAACCUUUCCUGACUGUCACACCCUUCUCCGUGAGGCUCACCUCCUGGAAGGUUCUCGCUGA